rnacentral:rRNA from 1 species
CAGCCGCCACGGGAAUACGUAGGGUGCAAGCGUUAAUCGGAAUUACUGGGCGUAAAGCGUGCGCAGGCGGUUUGUUAAGACAGAUGUGAAAUCCCCGGGCUCAACCUGGGAACUGCAUUUGAAACUGGCAAGCUAGAGUCUUGUAGAGGGGGGUAGAAUUCCAGGUGUAGCGGUGAAAUGCGUAGAGAUCUGGAGGAAUACCGGUGGCGAAGGCGGCCCCCUGGACGAAGACUGACGCUCAGGUACGAAAACGUGGGGAGCAAACAGGAUUAGAUACCCGUGUAGUCCCUGUCUCUUAUAC